UUAACCCGUCGCAACUGGCGUUGGAUGGCUAACCAUCAGGGAGCGGCACUCACGAAGACCACGGAUCGUACGCCUGGGCCGAGGGU
rnacentral:ncRNA from 20 species